AAACAUCGCCUCCUGCAAAAUCAAUGUAUAGGAGGUCUUGCCUGCCCAGUGACUAAGUUAAACGGCCGCGGUAUUUUGACCGUGCAAAGGUAGCGCAAUCACUUGUCUUUUAAAUGGAGACCUGUAUGAAUGGUGAAACGAGGGCUUAACUGUCUCCCUUUUCUGAUCAGUGAAAUUGAUCUACCCGUGCAGAAGCGGGUAUAAAUAUACAAGACGAGAAGACCCUAUGGAGCUUAAGACACAAAGUCAACUGCGUAAUAAAUCCCCAUAAGGGAACAAAACAAAGCAACACUGACCAGCGUCUUCGGUUGGGGCGACCGCGGGGGAAAAAAAAUCCCCCACGUGGAAUAGACAUUUUCCUAAACCACGAGGCACACCUCUAAGUCACAGAACUUCUGACCUAAAGAUCCGGCAUUUAGCCGAUCAACGGACCAAGUUACCCUAGGGAUAACAGCGCAAUCCCCUCCAAGAGUCCAUAUCGACAAGGGGGUUUACGACCUCGAUGUUGGAUCAGGACAUCCUAAUGGUGCAGCCGCUAUUAAGGGUUCGUUUGUUCAACGAUUAAAGUCCUACGUGA
rnacentral:rRNA from 1 species